AGCGUAGGACGCAAGCGUUAUCCGGAGUUACUGGGCGUAAAGCGCGGGCAGGCGGCUCGAAACGUCUGAUGUGAAAUCUCCUCGCUCAACGGGGAGAGGCCAUUGGAAACGGUCGAGCUGGAGGGCAGUAGAGGUAGGCGGAAUUCCGGGUGGAGUGGUGAAAUGCGUAGAGAUCCGGAGGAACACCAGAGGCGAAGGCGGCCUACUGGGCUGCACCUGACGCUGAGCCGCGAAAGCGUGGGGAGCAAACAGG
rnacentral:rRNA from 1 species